rnacentral:lncRNA from 1 species
GAGCAAAUUACCUACCAAGUGCUUGGGUUUUCACUUCAGCAUUCUUUUAGCUUGGCUGCAUUGCAUCCAGAUUACAUUUUGUGAGAUAAGCCUAUCUGUUCUAUUUAAAAAAAAAAAAAAGUCUUGAAUAACUUUAACAGAUGCUUAAGAGGUAAAAGUCUACAGUGCAACCUGCUGAGUAGCACCUGGAUAGUUCAAGCCUCAGGUGUGAUCAGUGGUGUGCUGAUUGUCUUGCUAACUGGUCGCUGGAGAUCUUUGGAACAGGGUUGCUGAUGCUGCCGGUUUCUUCCAUGCACUGUUGUUUGGGUCACUAUGAUGAAGCGUCCUGAGUAAAGCUCCUGGUCACCAGGAGUGUGAGCAGGUGGGAAAGGCCCAAGGGUAGACUUGUGGGCUGUUUCCUGACUGAUGUGAACGUGAUCACUUCUUGCUACCUUUACCUUUUGUGUUCUCGCCAACAGAAGGAUGUAAAAUGCAGGGUAGGAGUGUGCAGUGGCAUCAGUGUUCUCUACUGACACAUCUCUGUAAGUGGGGUUUCCUUACUAUAGAGGAACUGAAGGGUUUGUUUAUACUAGUGGAUCUAAACACAGAGCAUGUUUAUAACCUUCUGAAACAUAGAAAAUAACUUUUGCAGAAGGAAUUCUCUUACAGGCGAGGUCAUGGCCAAGUGGGAUGAUUUUGCUCACAAAUAGCUCUGACGUUGUUGGCAGCUUUUUGCAUAACUAGUGAACUGAAGUUGCCCACCUUGCUAAGACAUCAGUUUAUGUGGAAGUUGGUUCGUAACUGUUGACUUUUACAAAACUUUAGACUGGAUGUUUUAUGAAUAAUUGUAUUCUGGAAGUACGAAUCAGUGAAGGAAUGUACAAAAUGGAACCCUGUUACCUGUUGCCUAGGCUUCUUUCACUGUUGCUCUUCUAUCCUGUUUGGGUAAUGCAGACGUGACCCAAUACAGAAAUGCUUUUGAUGUGACAUUUGCAAACACAGUAUUUAAGAACAAAACAAAACCAACCAACCUUGGCUUUUGAGAGGACAAGAAGCCAAUACUUGCUUCUUGCCGCUUCCCGUACCCUUUUAUACGCUACUGUAUAAUUCCUUAACCAAAU